GAGAUUCUGCAUUCCUAAGGAGCUCUCAGGUAACUCAAUGUUGCUGUGUCUCAGCCAGAACGUGAAUAGCAGUGAUUGAAGGACUUUCUCUUGAAAAAGACUACACUCUUUCCUUAAGUUUGUAGUAUUUGUAGAACGAUGGAGAAGGAAGCUGCCUUGCUCCUAACAAAGAGGCCUUAGUCUUGAUUAGGAAAUUGAAGUGCCGCAGGUCCCCUCAAUUGACGUCGCUGCCGGAACAAAUGCAUUUUCUCAGGGAGAAGAUGCAGAAGAAACAUUUACUCUAUAUUCUGAAGGUUUCGCGGAAAUUAUGAAAAUAUGACAACUAUCACAUUGAAAAGUUUGGAUCCUUCAAUUUAGCAUUAAAGAAAUAUCACAAUAGUAGAUAUGAAAUGGGUGACCGGCACUAAUCACAGAUAAGAUUUCAAAGGAGAAAAAGAUUAUCCCAAGUUUCAAGGACAAGUAAA